AGUCGAACGCGAAAGUUCCCUUCGGGGAACAAGUAGAGUGGCGCACGGGUGAGUAACACGUAGGUAAUCUACCUUUGGAUUGGGAAUAACACCGAGAAAUCGGUGCUAAUACCGAAUAAUGCAGCGGCACCUAAUGGUGACAGUUGUUAAAGCGGGGGAUCGCAAGACCUCGCGUCUAAAGAGGAGCCUGCGGCGGAUUAGCUAGUUGGUAAGGUAACGGCUUACCAAGGCGAUGAUCCGUAGCCGGCCUGAGAGGGCGGUCGGCCACACUGACACUGACAUACGGGUCAGACUCCUACGGGAGGCAGCAGUCGGGAAUUUUGGGCAAUGGGCGAAAGCCUGACCCAGCAACGCCGCGUGAAGGAUGAAAUCCCUCGGGAUGUAAACUUCGCAAGAACGGGAAGAAUAAGUCGGUGCUAACACCAUCGGCGAUGACGGUACUGUUUGUAAGCUCCGGCUAACUCCGUGCCAGCAGCCGCGGUAAUACGGGGGGAGCAAGCGUUGUUCGGAUUUACUGGGCGUAAAGGGCGCGUAGGCGGCCACCGCAAGUCGACUGUGAAAUCUCCGGGCUUAACUCGGAAAGGUCAGCCGAUACUGCGGGGCUAGAGUGCAGAAGGGGCAACUGGAAUUCUCGGUGUAGCGGUGAAAUGCGUAGAUAUCGAGAGGAACACCUGCGGCGAAGGCGGGUUGCUGGGCUGACACUGACGCUGAUUGUGCGAAAGCUAGGGGAGCGAACGGGAUUAGAUACCCCGGUAGUCCUAGCCUUAAACGAUGAAUGCUUGGUGUCUGGGGUUUUAUAGUCCCCGGGUGCCGUCGCUAACGCUUUAAGCAUUCCGCCUGGGGAGUACGGUCGCAAGACUGAAACUCAAAGGAAUUGACGGGGACCCGCACAAGCGGUGGA
rnacentral:rRNA from 1 species